rnacentral:rRNA from 1 species
GACGAACGCUGGCGGCGUGCUUAACACAUGCAAGUCGAACGGAAAGGCCCUGCUUUUGUGGGGUGCUCGAGUGGCGAACGGGUGAGUAACACGUGAGUAACCUGCCCUUGACUUUGGGAUAACUUCAGGAAACUGGGGCUAAUACCGGAUAGGAGCUCCUGCUGCAUGGUGGGGGUUGGAAAGUUUCGGCGGUUGGGGAUGGACUCGCGGCUUAUCAGCUUGUUGGUGGGGUAGUGGCUUACCAAGGCUUUGACGGGUAGCCGGCCUGGGAGGGUGACCGGCCACAUUGGGACUGAGAUACGGCCCAGACUCCUACGGGAGACAGCAGUGGGAAGUAUUGCACAGUGGGCGGAAGCCUGAUGCAGCAACGCCGCGUGCGGGAUGACGGCCUUCGGGUUGUAAACCGCUUUCGCCUGUGACGAAGCGUGAGUGACGGUAAUGGGUAAAGAAGCACCGGCUAACUACGUG